UACGGGGGGGGCAAGCGUUGUUCGGAAUUACUGGGCGUAAAGGGCUCGUAGGCGGCCAACUAAGUCGGACGUGAAAUCCCGAGGCUCAACCUGGGAACUGCGUCCGAUACUGGAUGGCUUGAAUUCGGGAGAGGGAUGCAGAAUUCCAGGUGUAGCGGUGAAAUGCGUAGAUAUCUGGAGGAAUACCGGUGGCGAAGGCGGCAUCCUGGACCGACAUUGACGCUGAUGAGCGAAAGCUAGGGGAGCAAACGGG
rnacentral:rRNA from 1 species